GGACUGGCUCAGCCUAAUACAGGAAACAGGACAGGCUCAGCCCAAUACAGGGAACAGGACUGGCUCAGCACAAUACAGGGAACAGGACAGGCUCAGCCCAAUACAGGGAUCAGGACAGGCUCAGCCCAAUACAGGAAACAGGACUGGCUCAGCCUAAUACAGGAAACAGGACAGGCUCAGCCCAAUACAGGGAACAGGACUGGCUCAGCACAAUACAGGGAUCAGGACAGGCUCAGCCCAAUACAGGGAUCAGGACAGGCUCAGCCCAAUACAGGGAACAGGACAGGCUCAGCCUAAUACAGGGAACAGGACUGGCUCAGCACAAUACAGGGAUCAGGACAGGCUCAGCCCAAUACAGGAAACAGGACUGGCUCAGCCUAAUACAGGAAACAGGACAGGCUCAGCCCAAUACAGGAAACAGGACUGGCUCAGCCUAAUACAGGAAACAGGACAGGCUCAGCCCAAUACAGGGAUCAGGACUGGCUCAGCCCAAUACAGGAAACAGGA